GCGUUCCGUAGUUUGAUACCCUGGCAACACUGGUCAAGCAAACGAAGAUGGCUGCCGCAUAUCGGCGGCAUUUUCGUUUAGUUAGUUUAUUUAUAGCUGUGGUUAUAGUUUAGUGAUGUGUGCUAAAAUUUGAUCCUCUGCAACGAUGUGUCGAGGCGCUUCGUCAAAGCCUAGAGGGUUUAUAGGGGCGGACCGCCUUAUCUUGAUCGGCUCGGAAAAGAGAUAAAAGCAAUUAACUAGGCCCGAGCAGCCGUCGUCAAGAUCCCUGACGUCACAGCGAGCUGGUACGGGAACUUAACAGCGGCGUCGCCACCGGUCUUUUGUGCUUACGUCAUUUGUGGCAUACCAAGCCUCUUCUCAAGACAGCACCUGCUGACCGCACCUGCACCCUUUCGAGAAUUCGAUAAACAUGAAAGCAAAUGCCUCUACGUCAUCGCGGAGAGGGAAAAGCAGAUAAAAGAAAGAGCCAGCAGGGACAUGAAACGAUGAAAGCCAUUUUCACGAGCGGUCACAGAUCCAGACGCCGGAUAAAGCAAGCGCCAGGACUGAUACGAGCGGGACCUGAGCCAUGGUUGAAGUCAGACGGGGCCUUCCUGAAGUUCGCUUGCUGCGCCGCCCAGACUCCGGCCAGGGCUAGCCGCACCCGGCGCGGGUCCAGGGAGCCGCACGCGCCGUCUCCACCGAUCCCGGGUCCCGAUGCGGCGUCGCU